CGUCCUCCCGCGGGGCGGCGCAACGUGUUGCGGGUGAAGUGGUUUAGUGUGUUUGUCCCAAACGCUCUCUCAGAAAGGAGACGAAGACCUGACAGCAAGUAAUUUUUUUUUUCUUUACCCUGCUUAACGUUUUAAGACCUACAAGUAGUUCUGUUUUUUUUUUUUUUUUUUUUUUCUGCGACUGAAAUGAAGACACGACCGCGGGAAGAUAGCGCCCGAGCACAGCCGUCUGUUUCGGACCCUGUUAAACGAGCGGCCUCCAGCGUUUUGCGGCGGGGGAAUCCCCCGUCACCAUCCUCCCGAUGUGCCCUGUGACGUGAACGAGUUGUUUGCGUGGGGAAGGCCACCCUUGCUGAGGGGCACCCUUGACGUGCGGUCCCUGUGAAGCCCUCAGAUAUUGAAUAUGUGAAAGUUCUAUAGCUAUCUAUCUUCAGUCUGGCAUGUGAUCAGAGAUUUUGAUACUUUUGGUCGUGGAAAUUGGACGGGGCAUGGCUGAUGGCGAGAGAGAAGAGUUUUUGGUUCCCCAUUCCAAAAUUUAUAUAUUAAACGUACCUGCUUGGAGUCUGUAGGUGUACAAGUCAGCAAACUCUGAUUUAGAAGAUUCCAAGGAUUUGGAGAUUCUCUGAAAUGUUGAGAAGGGUGUAUGUUGGACCUGAAGUCUCAUAAGCAUUAAGUUUGUGGCAGUGUUGUUAGUCAACUUGUAGUGAUCAGGUUGAGAGAUGGCAUAAAACUCCCCCAAAGUGCAAAAGGAACAACACCCAUUCACAGAUGCUGUUCUUCUCCCACAGGCCUGGAAGUAACUCCUUUUUGGAAACUGCACUCUCAGUUCCUUUUCCAACACCUGCCCCAUCAGCCAUGGAGAGGCACCGUGGAGAAUGCUUUCUAACUCUCCCUUGUUCCUUUACAUCUAUACAUGGGGUAUAGACUGUGAACUCUGGAUUGGCAUUUUCUCUCUUUGGAGGAACAUGGGGUCAAACAGUGUGAGGAAGCAGCUUUUUCUCAAGUUUGGCUCAACAUGCUGUAGGUCAUUUUGGCUUAAGAGAACAGGCUCACUCACAGGGUCCAGUCUAAAUCUCUGUGUUCUUCAUUAAAUUCUGCCCUAGAGCCUUUGUAUUUACUGUUUUCCCUGUGUGUGACAUUUCUAUCUAUCAGAUAUGCGCACAGCUCAUACCUACACUUUCUUUAUGUCUCUGUCCAAAUGUCACCUUUUCAGAGAACCCAUCUCUGGCUUUGCUAUAUAAAAUAACACUCACUCUACCUUGCGGCACUCCUACAUUCCUUACACAAUUUUAGUUUUCUUUAUACCACACGUCAUCACUUGAUGUAUUAGGAGCCUCCUGAUCUGAAUAUCUGAUCUGAACAUCUGUUUUAUUCGUUAGAACAGAGCUUGAUACAUAGCAGGUGUUUAAUAAAUACAUGUUGAAUGAAUGAAAAAGUUUAUAUAUUAGUAAAGAAUUCAUAAAUGUCUGUUUACAAUAGGACCUACUCUCCUGGGCCUCUGGAUCCUGUAUGUCACAGAAGGUAGAAGUUAAGAUGAUGGAUCCUGGAGCCUGGCCACCUGGGCUUGGUUUUCAGCUACACCAUUUACCAGUUUGAUCAACCAGUUACUUAUUUUUCUGUAUCGACGUUUCUUAUUUAUGAAAUAAAUCCUUAUUUUAAUAUAAGGAUAAUAUUAGUAGUUGAGGGUUAAAUUGUAUACAUAUAGUAAAUGAUACAUGCAAAA